rnacentral:misc_RNA from 1 species
GGUAGAGGGAGAAAUUGGUGGGCGCUCCAAUGACGUCAGGGGCGAUCGUCAGGCGCAAACGGGGUUGGCACCGUACUACGUCAGAAUGACGAGCCGAUAAACCAUCCCAUCGCGAUUCUCUGCGGCGGGCGGACCAACGGUCUUGGAGGUGACCGUCGGUUCGCAGAGGAUGGCGAGCUCGGGGUCGGUGGCUGUCGACGGGGUCGGCGAGAACAAUGCCACGUCUGGAGUCGAUCUCGGUGGUCCCAAGAAUCCACUGAUCUGUGGUGUCUGUCAUGACUACUACAAUGAGCCUUGUCUACUCUCCUGCUUUCAUACAUUCUGCGCCCGCUGCAUACGUGGCCCUCACCUCGACGGAAAAGUCACCUGUCCCAGCUGCGGGCAACAAACACAACUUAAAGAGGGAGCACAAUUACCACCACUGGAUCAGUUAAUACGUCAACUAGUAGAAUUAGCCAAUUCUGAAAAUCCACCAUGUGCCAAUUGUGAUAAACGAGACAAAUCUACUAUGUUCUUCUGCACAACAUGUGGACAAGCUCUAUGUACUCAUUGCAGAGAACAUACACAUCGUGCAAAAAUGUUCUCCACUCAUGAAGUGGUGCAUAUGAGCAAAUGUGCAAAGGAUACUCAACGUCGUUGUCCUUCUCAUGGGGAGCAAUACAUCAUGUAUUGUCAAAGCGCUAAAUGUAUGCUUUGUGCAACAUGUUUCCGUGAUACACCAGCAGAUGCUCGACUACAUUGUGUGGACAUCGAAAGCGCUUGGCAACAGGCUUCAAAAAAAAUGGAAAGAGCAGCAAAUUCAAUUUGUGAAUUACAAGCAGGCGUAAGAGAUGGAGUUUUGGCAUUAAAAUCACAGUUGGACGAAUUACGUCAUAGCCUAGAUUCAGAGAAACGCGCAUUAAAUUCAUUUUGUCAAGGAAUGCAAGAAGCAAUUAAUAAAACUCAUUCUUCCGUUUUAUCGGAACUUCAACGUCAAUUUGAAACUAAGGAAAGAAUGGUUCGGACUCGAUUGCUAUCCUUGGGUAGUGCACUUCCAAUAUUACAAAUGCAUUUAAUGCUGUGUACAGCUUUUACAAGUGGUGCGACAAAGUAUCAAUUUCUUGAACUCGCACAUCCUAUGCUCGAAAGAUUGAGUCGCGUAGCUCAACUUGGACACCCUACGAGACCUCCUCUACUUGCUGCCCAUUUGAAGACAAACUAUAGAAGCGACUUUGCUCGUACGUUACAGCCUUUUAUUGGUCAGGUACAAACACCAAAAGAAUCAUUGUACGAUCAGACUCACACGAUGGGCCAGCAGGAACCGCAGGUUAUACAGAGCAGCAAGCCUGCUCAGAGAAUCCAGCCGAAGAAUGGAAGUGACGGUGGGCCGUUUUCCAACCAUUGUCGCACCUUCGAUACUCAAUUAAAAGAACUAAGUCAACAACUGAUGACAGUGAAGGAACGUUUAGGAGAACUCCAUCGAGACGUCGCACUACUUAGAAGAGCUAACACACCGCCUGUGGGUACGCGUUACGAGCAUGUGGCGAGAGAUUGUCGUGUGUUAGAACAGCAAUUAGAACAUCAUCAGUUAGAAUUGGAACGGUUGAGGAACGUGUUUGAUGCUUUGUGGGAAGAACAAUUGUGCAGAAUUCAUAUAGAGAAGGAAAUCUUCCAUUCUCAGAUGGACGAUAUUCUAUCUUUAAGAAGUGAAGUGAAGCAAUUACAAAGUCUUACACAACAAUUGGAACCGUUUGUGAAAUCGUUUUCUACAGGAGUUACUGCAGGUGAAGUGAGCAUGGCAGCUUCGGAUGCUUCCAGUAGUCAACACCUGCAAGCUUUAUUAGAUCAUAUAGCGCGCUUGCAGAUGCAGGAACCACCUCAACCGCAAACUCAAGCACCGACUAAGGAUCAUCGUCAUCCACGAGGUACUAUGACCAGUGUUGACAACGCUCUUUACAUGAAGGAAACUAAAGAAAUGCCGACGCGUUGUCGGACACCAUCGGGUGUUGGUGCCGUAUUAGACUCGAGCGGCAACAUAGUCGUAUACGGUACCGCUAAAUCUUCCGAACAAAAAAGAGGAGUACUGAGAGAGCUUCUUGAAAAAGCUAGAACAAAAGAGGAUCGCAAGAAAUCACCAGGAAGAGACGACGGUAGUCGGGAUCGUAGUCAAAGCCGACGUUCCAGAAAGUCACCCGAUGGUACGAAACCUAAAACACCACCAGGACAUUCUUCGAGUAGCAAGGUUCGAUCGUUGUAUCGUUCCUGGAAAGGUGCAACCGGUGAUACGUCAACUGAGGCACUCGACCAACCAGAAAGAUGUACGGACGGUCAACAGCAGCAGCAGCAACAACAACAACAACAACAAGCGCAAACUCACCAAGCAGCUUUCUAUCGUCGCCGUCAAAAGGUGGUGAUGAGGGGGAAUAUCAACGAAUUUCCGAAGCUUCUAGCAUGGGCGAGGCCAAAAAACGAGUCCAAGCGCAAGUACAUCCUAUACCACCGGACGACCAAAAACUAUCCAGUGGAAAAAGUACAAAGGUGUAUCCGGCUAGCGACUCCGAGGAUGUCUUCUAUGUGGAUGAUAAGGCUCCUAGUGAUGUUCGAAGACGCAGACGUGCCAGCUGUGACAGCCUAAGUACAACCGGUUCUGGUAGCAGAAGAUCGAGCAUCGUUGACGGGACGAAGCAGCGUUCCUGGGAAACCUUCCCUCGACCAAAGAGCAAAAGAAGCGGACCCAGUGAAGGUGCAUCCUCCUCCCUGGGACAGCUUAAAAGAGCAGACAGCUUUGAGGGUCACGAGGAAGCUGUACGAACCUUGGUUGCAGCAGUACAGGAGACCAGAUCGCAUUUACGUCAACACCUUAUUCAUCAUCAUCGUCAUCAUCACAUCUCAAGAAAGAGGUUUUCAACGUAAUAUGUUCCGAUGACGAUUCUCAAAUCAAUUCAAAGUGUGCUGAUGAAGAAUAUAAAUAAAAGCCUAUAGAGAAACAUUUAGAAUGAUAUUGUCCGAGAGACUGUAAUCUUUUUGGUGAUUAUAUACUUGUUGUUAGUCGCGAGACGUAUUGUUGAGAAGAAGAAAAGAAAAAGAAAACAAAGAAUAACGUUUCGUAAGUUUUUUCGAAGGAUUUUGAAGCGUCUCGAUAAAUAUAUAUGUAUAUAUAUAUACACAUAACAUACGUAUACACACACAAUAUAUGCAAGAUAUAAUACAUAAAAAAACAUACACACGUAUCAUAUACGAUACAUACAUACACACACACACACCCAUACAUAGAUACAGGUGUACACCAAAGACGGAAUAUAUGGAGACACGUACUACAUAAAAAAA